UUGUAUGUUUGAUGUUCUAACUUAGACCCCAUUAUCUGGGUUGAGGACAGUGCCUGGUGGGUAGUUUGACUGGGGCGGUCUCCUCCCAAAGAGUAACGGAGGAGCACGAAGGUGGGCUAAUCACGGUUGGACAUCGUGAGGUUAGUGCAAUGGCAUAAGCCCGCUUAACUGCGAGAAUGACGGUUCGAGCAGGUGCGAAAGCAGGUCAUAGUGAUCCGGUGGUUCUGUAUGGAAGGGCCAUCGCUCAACGGAUAAAAGGUACUCCGGGGAUAACAGGCUGAUACCGCCCAAGAGUUCAUAUCGACGGCGGUGUUUGGCACCUCGAUGUCGGCUCAUCACAUCCUGGGGCUGAAGUCGGUCCCAAGGGUAUGGCUGUUCGCCAUUUAAAGUGGUACGCGAGCUGGGUUUAGAACGUCGUGAGACAGUUCGGUCCCUAUCUGCCGUGGGCGUUGGAAGAUUGAAGGGGGCUGCUCCUAGUACGAGAGGACCGGAGUGGACGAACCUCUGGUGUUCGGGUUGUGUCGCCAGACGCAUUGCCCGGUAGCUAAGUUCGGAAUUGAUAAGCGCUGAAAGCAUCUAAGCGCGAAGCGAGCCCUGAGAUGAGUCUUCCCUGAUACUUUAAGUAUCCUAAAGGGUUGUUCGAGACUAGAACGUUGAUAGGCAGGGUGUGUAAGCGUUGUGAGGCGUUGAGCUAACCUGUACUAAUUGCCCGUGAGGCUUAACCAU
rnacentral:rRNA from 2 species